GCGGCUGCCUUAGCCCUGCGCCACCCGGUUGUUGUCUGCCUUUGCCUUUUGGCGCGGUCCGAGUUCUCUUUGACUGCAAUGGAAAGAGGAAAGACAAACUAGAAUUAUUUUUUUUUAAUUGUCAUUUGAUUUCUUCAGAGUUAUUGUGGCCUUCUGAGCUGUCAACUAAAGAUGCUCCUGAAACAUAACAACAGCGUUAGUCGGGUGCAGUGAAGCAAGAAGGCCCCCCACAUUUGCAUCCCAGAUAUGGCAGAUACUUAGCAUCUAGCAAAAUAACGGCAGCUGCUUAUCUUGACCCCAACUUGAAUCACACACCAAAUUCGAGUACUAAGACUCACCUGGGUACUGGUAUAGAACGGUCUCCUGGUGCGAUGGAGCGAGUAUUAAAGGUCUUUCGUUAUUUUGAAAGCAAUAGUGAGCCAACCACCUGGGCCAGUAUUAUCAGGCAUGGAGAUGCUACUGAUGUCAGGGGCAUCAUUCAGAAGAUAGUGGACAAUCACAAAGUAAAGCAUGUGGCCUGCUAUGGAUUCCGCCUCGGUCACCUGCAGUCAGAGGAGGUUCACUGGCUUCACGUGGAUAUGGGCGUCUCCAGUGUGAGGGAGAAGUAUGAGCUUGCCCACCCACCAGAGGAGUGGAAAUAUGAAUUGAGAAUUCGUUAUUUGCCAAAAGGAUUUCUAAACCAGUUUACUGAAGAUAAACCAACUUUGAAUUUCUUCUAUCAGCAGGCGAAGAGUGAUUAUAUGUUAGAGAUAGCUGAUCAAGUGGACCAGGAAAUUGCUUUGAAGUUGGGUUGUCUAGAAAUAUGGUGAUCAUACUGGGAGAUGCAGGAAGAUACUUUAUAGUUAGAAAAGAAGUCUAACUAUGAAGUAUUAGAAAAAUAUGUUGGUUUAAAGCAAUUUUUUCCUAAGAGUUUACUGGAUUCUGUCAAGGGCAAAACACUAAGAAAACUGAUUCAACAAACAUUUAGACAAUUUGCCAACCUUAAUAGAGAAGAGAGUAUUCUGAAAUUCUUUGAGAUCCUGUCUCCAGUGUACAGAUUUGAUAAGGAAUGCUUCAAGUGUGCUCUUGGUUCAAGCUGGAUUAUUUCAGUGGAACUGGCAAUCAGCCCGGAAGAAGGAAUCAGUUACCUAACGGACAAGGGCUGCAAUUCCACACGUCUUGCUGACUUCAAUCAAGUGCAAACCAUGUAUUCAAACAGUUUGAAGGACAGAAAAGGAAUGCUAAAACUAAAAAUAGCAGGUGCACCCGAGCCUCUGACAGUGACGGCACCAUCCCUAACCAUUGCAGAGAAUAUGGCUGACCUGAUAGAUGGGUACUGCUGACUGGUGAAUGGAGCCUCGCAGUCAUUUAUUAUCAGACCCCAGAAAGAAGGUGAACAGGCUUUGCCAUCAAUACCAAAGCUGGCCAACAGUGAAAAGCAAGGCAUGCAGACACAUGCCGUCUCUGUGUCAGAAACAGAUGAUUAUGCUGAGAUUAUAGAUGAAGAAGAUACUUAACACCAUGCCCUCAACCAGAGAUUAUGAGAUUCAAAGAGAAAGAAUAGAACUUGGACGACGUAUUGGAGAAGGCCAAUUUGGAGAUGUACAUCAAGGCGUUUAUAUCAGUCCAGAGAAUCCAGCUUUGGCAGUUGCAAUUAAAACAUGUAAAAACUAUACUUCGGACAGCAUGAGGAAGAAAUUUCUUCAAGAAGCCUUAACAAUGCAUCAGUUUGACCAUCCUCAUAUUGUGAAGCUGAUUGGAGUCAUCACAGAGAAUCCUGUCUGGAUAAUCAUGGAGCUACGUACACUUGGAGAGCUGAGGUCAUUUUUGCAAGUAAGGAAAUACAGUUUGGAUCUAGCACCCUUGAUCCUGUAUGCCUAUCAGCUUAGCACAGCUCUUGCAUAUCUAGAGACCAAAAGAUUUGUACACAGGGGCAUUGCUGCUCAGAAUGUUCUAGUGUCCUCAAAUGAUUGUGUAAAAUUAGGAGACUUUGGAUUAUCCCGAUAUAUGGAACUUACUACAAAGCUUCAGAAGGAAAAUUGUCUAUUAAAUGGAUGGCUCCAGAGUCAAUCAAUUUUCGACAUUUUACCUCAGCUGGUAAAAUGGAUGUUUGGUUUAUGUAUGUGGGAGAUACUGAUGCAUGGUGUCAAGCCUUUUCAAGGAGUGAAGAACAAUGAUGUAAUCGGUCGAAUUGAAAAUGGGGAAGGACUACCAGUGCCUCCAAAUUGUCCUCCUACCUUCUACAGCCUUAUGACGAAAUGCUGGGCCUAUGACCCCAGCAGGCGGCCCAGGUUUACUGAACUUAAAGCUCAGCUCAGCACAAUUCUGGAGGAAGAGAAGGCUCAGCAAGAAGAACGCAUGAGGAUGGAGUCCAGAAGACAGGCUACAGUGUCCUGGGACUCUGGAGGGUCUGAUGAAGCGCCGCCCAAGCCCAGCAGACCAGGUUAUCCUAGUCCGAGAUCCAGUGAAGAAUUUUAUCCCAGCCCACAGCACAUGGUGCAAAUCAAUCAUUACCAGGUCUCUGGCUACCCUGGUUCACAUGGAAUCACAGCUAUGGCUGGCAGCAUCUAUCCAGGUCAGGCAUCUCUUUUGGACCAAGCAGAUUCAUGGAGUCAUAGACCUCAGGAGAUAUGAAUGUGGCAGCCCAAUGUGGAGGACUCUACAGCAUUGGACCUAUGAGGGACUGGGCAAGUGUUGCCAACCCACCUGAUGGAAGAGAGGCUAAUCUAACAGCAACAGGAAAUGGAAGAAGAUUAGCACUGGCUGGAAAAAGAGGAAAGAUUUCUGAAACCUGAUGUGAGACUCUCUCGAGGCAGCAUUGACAGGGAGGAUGGAAGUCUUCAGGGUCCGAUUGGAAACCAACAUAUAUAUCAGCCUGUGGGUAAACCAGAUCCUGCAGCUCCACCAAAUAAACCACCUCACCCUGGAGCCCCUGGUCACCUGGGAAGCCUUGCCAGCCUCAGCAGCCCUGGGGACAGCUGCAACAAGGGUGUCAAGCCAUGGAGGCUUUAGCCCCAGGAAAUCAGCCCCCCACCUACUGCCAAGCUGGACCGGUCAAAUGAUAAGAUGUAUGACAAUGUGACGGGCCUGGUGAAAGCUGUCAUCGAGAUGUCCAGUAAAAUCCAGCUGGCCCCACCAGAGGAAUAUGUCCCUAUGGUGAAGGAAGUUGGCUUGGCCCUGAGGACGUUAUUGGCCACUGUGGAUGAGACCAUUCCCCUCCUCCCAGCCAGCACCCGCCGAGAGAUGGAGAUGGCACAGAAACUAUUGAACUCUGACCUGGGUGAGCUCAUCAACAAGAUGAAACUGGCCCAGCAGUAUGUCAUGACCAGCCUCCAGCAAGAGUACAAAAAGCAAAUGCCGACUGCUGCUCACGCCCUGGCUGUGGAUACCAAAAACUUACUUGAUGUCACUGACCAAGCAAGACUGAAAAUGCUUGGGCAGAUGAGACCACACUGAGCCUCCCCUGGGAGCAUGUCUUGCUACCCUCUUUUGAAGAUGUUCUCUAGCCUUCCACCAGCAGUGAG